UGCUCCCGUACGAUCAUAGAAGUUAAGCAACUUCGAGCCUGGUCAGUACCUAGAUAGGUGACAACUUGGGAAUAUCAGAUGCUGUAA